AAAAGACAAUUUUUUUUUUAAAAGUUGAGAUAAAAAUAUAUAUAAACACAUAAAAAUCAUGUGCACUGCACAUGCCGACGACAAAAUUAAUACAGAAUUAAUGGUUAUAACAAAAUAAAAGUGUAGGAAGUAUUGCGAAGCCGUUGAAGGUUCUUGAAUGAAUGUGUACUACCUGAAAUUUAAGAUGAUUCUGUGUAUUUCCUUUAGUGUCUUUCAUCCUCAUUUAUAUGGCAGUGCAAUUUCGUUUACUUUCGAUUUCAUAGGCAUUUAAGAAUAAUAUAGAAGUAUAAAACUAUAUGGCCAUUCUGUAGCGCGAGUCUAAGGCGCCAGUUUUAUAUUUAAGGAGUAUAAGAAUGAAACGGUUACUUAAAAAGUGAAAAGCUGUGUUCUUUCAUGAAUAUCCGCGCUAUCAUGGCGAUCACUCCUGGCAUGUCCACCAAGCCACUGGUCAGCCACCGCAGCAGCUCUCCCUCAGCCGUCACCACUUCUUCCUUGCCAGCCCGACAACAAGCUGCUAGAAGCCGUCGUCGAGCCAUCCGGCCCCCAACCUUUCUCUCACUCACUGGCAAGUCGGAUACGGGCUUGGGAUGUCGGUUCUGAUGUCACCGAGCCCAAUCCAGAUUGUGUUACCGUCUAGAUUAUUUUGCAUAAUUUCUGCAAACUGUAUGGGCAAUUGAGUCACUUAGGGAGUAGUUUUGCAAUUUAAUAUAUCCUUAACAUGGUUGUUACAUUGUUGCAGCCAGGCAGAUCUGAUAAAAUCUGUAAUUGAAACUGUGUUGCAUAAGCUGGAUGUCGGAUGUGAAAAGAUUGUGACUAAAGAACUAGUAGGAGUUGAUAAUCGUGUAGAAGUUAUAAUCAAAAUGUUGGAUGUGGGAUCUGACAGCGUACAAUUUCUCGGAAUCCAUGGAAUGGGCGGGAUUGGCAAAACAACACUUGCCAAGGUCAUCUUCAAUCGAUUGUCUUCUCACUUCAAAGGCUGCAAUUUCCUUUCGGAUGUCCGAGAGUCGUCACAACGCCAUGGUUUGGUAUAUUUGCAAAAACAGUUGCUAUCCAAGUUCCUUGAUUCUCGUUCUAUCCUCGACCAGAUUAAUGACCCAGAUGACGGGAUCAACAUGAUUAAGAGAGUUCUUAGCGAUAAAAAAGUUCUCAUUGUUUUAGAUGACGUGGAUAGGAAAGAGCAACUCAAAAGUCUAGCAGAAAAUGGUCAUUGGUUUGGUUCCGGUAGUAGGAUUAUCAUAACUACUAGGGAUCAGCGUAUACUAAGGAUUGAGGGAGAAGCAACAAGUGAAGCCCUUGCAGAAAAGUCUACAAAAGUUUCAACUUACGAAGUCUGUAAAAUGGAUUUUGAUGAUGCUCUUAAGCUUUUUAGUAAGCAUGCUUUUAGAAGAGACUCUCCUCCAGAUCAUUAUGCUGCCCUUUCAAAUGAAGUUGUGUCCACUUUAGGAAUGCUUCCUUUAGCCCUUGAGGUUACAGGUUCAUCCCUUAACAAUGAACCCAAAGAAAUUUGGGAAGCCACAUUGUAGAAGCUAAAAGAUGCUCCUCCCAAUGAAGUCCAAAGUAAAUUGAUGAUAUCUUAUGAUAAGUUAAAUAAUGAACAAAAGCAAGUAUUUCUAGAUAUAGCUUGCUUUUUUGUUAAUAAGGAUAAAACAUACCCUUUCUACAUGUGGGAUGCCUGUGGAUACCACCCACACGUGGCCAUUAGGGUCCUCUUUCUCAUGUCCUUGAUAAAAAUUAAAGAUGACAAUACUUUUUGGAUGCAUGAUCAAGUGCAAGACCUUGGAAGGGAAAUUGUCCGUCAAGGUAACAAUGAUCCUUGCGAGCAUAGUAGAGUGUGGAAUCAUGAGGAUGCCUUGAGCAUUUUGAAGCAAAAAGAGGGAAGUAGGAUAGAAGCACUGUCAAUUGGAUUUCAAGGAUUACUUCAUGAAGACAUAAUUCUACAGUAUGAUGAAUUAGCUAAUUUACGAAAGUUACGGUUCUUUCAAGCAGAAAAGGUGUCCCUUGUUGGAGACUUCAAUAAUCUUCUCCCCAGUUUAACAUGGCUUUCUUGCCAUCAUUGCCCUUUCAAGGUUAUGGCGAAAAACUUUCAUCCGAUUAAUUUAAUCGUUCUAAACCUUUCAAGGAGUAAUAUUUCGGAGAUUGGCUGGAUUAAGGCGGCAAAGAAUCUAAAAGUACUAGAUCUCAUUGAUUGCCAAAAGUUAAGAAGGAUACCUGAUUUAUCUAAGUUGGUGUCCUUGGAGAUAUUGAUUCUUCAAUGCUGUUACGGAUUAAUUGAAAUUGACCCAUCCAUUGGUGAAUUAAAGCUCCUAACUACUUUGAACUUGGAUGGAUGUUAUUCUCUUCGAGAGUUGCCUAAAGAAAUAGGACGUCUACGAGCUUUGACAAAGAUUGUCAUGCCUACUACGCUACAUAAACUUCCGGAGACAUUUGGUAAUUUAGAGUCAUUGUUGACCUUAGAUCUCUCAAAAAAGCGGAUCAGCAAACUGCCACACUCAAUUGGAGGAAUGGUUAAACUUACGGUGUUGAGAUUAUGUUAUUGUGAUGAGAUAAAGGAACUUCCAGACUCGAUUGGGAGAUUACAAUCAUUAAUCGAGUUGGAUUUGACAAGUACAGGUAUUGGUCACCUACCUGAUUCAAUCGGCAAUCUAUCACAAUUGAAAAUACUUAAGAUGCACAGCAUGAUUCGGAUAACAAAAUUACCAAGUGCAAUAUGUUUGUUGAAGAAGCUUGAAGAGUUAGGCGCUUCUUUGUGUGGGAACUUAACUGGCGAAUUCCUUGAAGAAAUUGAGAGACUGUCUUGUUUGAGGAUCCUAGACUUGUCGGGGACCCAUGUGUUCAAAUUACCAUCCACACUGAGUUGCCUUUCUAAUCUCCAAGAACUUAAUCUAGACAAAUCUGAUAUUAAACAGUUACCAGAGCUUUCCUCAAGUUUGACUUGUUUGACAUGGACCCCCCGUAUUAAGUUGGAGAGUUUCAUUCCCCUUCCUACUAACCUCAGUACCAUGUCUCAGCUAAAAACACUAACAUUGGCCUCCUUAAAUGUGCAAUUCCUCCCCCAACUCCCGUCUAGUUUAAGAAAGCUAAAACUUGUAAAUUUGGCAAUUACACAAUCGCCAGAUUUUUCCAAUUUGAAAAACUUGUUAACCUUGGAAUUCUAUGACUGCUCGAUGCCGGAAUUCUCUGGCAUAUUUGAUGCGGAGUUGGAGACACUCACUAUGGAGGGUUGUACGUUUACAAGAUUGGAGGCACCGUUUCUGCUGGAAAUGAAAAAAUUGACAUAUUUAAGAUUGGUUAUGUGUGAGAUCCUCCUAAAAGUAUUGGAUCUGUCGCAUAUGAAGAAUCUGCAAGAGGUACAUUUGUGUGACUGCAAGUCGUUAGUCGAGAUUCGUGGUCUUGAAGAAUUGGGAUCGCUUUCCUCCCUUGAGGUAAGCUGUUGCAUUUUGAUUGAAAGGAUCCCAGAUCUAUCGAAAUUGAGAAAGCUAAAGAGGCUCAAAGUAGGAAAAUGUCCAGAGCUAAGAAGCGUGGAAGGACUAAAUCACUUGGAAUCUUUAAAGUACAUGUAUAUUCGAGAAUGCUGCUCGUUGGAGAGUUUGGCUAACACCUCAAAUUUGGAUUUAGAAUGUUGCCAUAUUCUCCAUUGCGGGCAGUUGCCCCGUCACACUUAUUGUAAACGGGGUGUGUAUUGCCAAUGUUGGAGGUGAAAUCCAAGCCGAUGAAAGUCCAGCAGGUAUCAUCAGGACACCCGCACGUGGCGUCGGGCCUUUCUGGGGAGCGCCACAGAAUGUGCAGUGUCCUGUGCUGGUAGUGAAGAGGCCCAAAUCCAGCAGGAGCAACUGAAACUCAAUCUGCAAAGCUGGUGCUCAGGUUGUGUCCUAGUCCCAUGUUGUCUUCGGGGGCUUUGUCAAGUUUCAUUGUAUAUACUCCUACAUUGCCCUAGUUUCAUGAGUUUCUGGCUUGUGAAAAAUGGAUUGGUUUUUUCUUAGUAGAAUUUGA